rnacentral:misc_RNA from 1 species
AUAUGAAUACAAUGUACAAAGGUCCAACCGCGUAGUAACUUUGAUACUCGAUAUAAAGCUGUACAGUAUAUAACAACAAGAACAAUAUUCCCUGUGAAAUCCCACUAAGAGUAGGACCAGAGAAGCCAUUCACAUAUGGGUCGUUAGGGCCUUCAUUCCUAAUUCACAGAGGUCUGAUUGAGAUAGUGACCACAACUGUCAAAGUAACGUUUACCUAAUCUGUGUCUCCAGAUUCUCUCCCUCCGUCGUUGUCUCCAGUACCAUUUGAGGAUAUGUUCCCCCCUUGACCGUCUCUUAGAUUGUCUCGAGGUGAGUUGGUCUCUGAGGAAUCUUCUUCCAGGGGCAGCAGCUCAAGGGGCCUUGGCUCUCCGUAUUCAAGUUGGAAAUCGGAGUUGUCCCCUUCUAAUCGUUCAGGUUGAACCCUCAGUACAACAUUUCUCACUUGAAGUGCCUGUAUUAACUCAAAUUGGUGUUCUGGAGUGUGUUGCUGGUUAAAUCUGCCCGGGAGCUUUGACGAGCUUUUAUAACAUCCUUCACAAAGGUCAAAGCCUAUUUUCUCCGUGCAGUCUUUGCAUUUGAAUCGCUCCCCAACGAUAGGACACAUCCCACAAUAAUCACAACCAACUCCAAAAUGAACCUGUGGUCCUCCACCCGUUAACCAUGAUGAAAGAUCAAAUCCAGGCACUGAUUUGCAGCCAGCAGCUUCGUCCCGAUUUCGUUUUGAUGGAAUCUGACAAUCAGAUCUUUCCACUGAUGCCCUUAUCCUUUCGCCAUACAACUUCGGGAAUUGCUCCUCCAGGUAGUGCUCAAGAAUCAAACAAACGUUGGGGAAUCCAUUUGGAUGCUCCAGUUGGCAAACUGGACAUCUACAAAGCUUGUCGCUAGGAUUGAUCACACAAUUUUCACAAUAAACAUGGCCACAAUUAAGAACAACAGGUUUGCAUAACAAUAGCUCGCAGAUACCACAAAGCAAAUCUGUCAUAAGCACCUGCUUUUCACUUGCACUGGUAUGUUCAUCUGCAAAGUUAAGAUUCUUUGAUAUUGCGUCCUUACUGAUUUCGGAACUCGAUGUUGCAGGAACAACUGUAUCUAAUGAAACAUCUACGGAGGAAUGAUCUCCUUCUCCCACUGAACCACAUUUCUGCAACGAGACAGAAUGAGGUGAAGCAGUGUCCGGAACAUGAUCUGUCUUGCAGCCGGAUUCUGAUAAAUCAUCAUCAAACUCAGGUGAGCAAGAUCCUACUUCUUUCUCCUCCUCUGCUACUUGUUUUACCCUUCUUGCACUAGCUAAAGGGUACAACUUCAGAAGCAAAGAGUGCAUCAAUCCACAAAGACUAGGAAAAUGAUGAUAUGGGUGUCGACAAAUGGGACAGUUUGAUUCCCUCCAAGUAUUCAUAGCUUUGAAUAUACACCAGAAACAAGCAAUGUGGCCACACCCUAGCACAACUGGUUUAUACAAAAGUUCCAGGCAAACACAGCACUGAAAUUCAUCUGGGAUUUCCUCAAUUUGAGUAUCAUCAUGAUCUUCAUGGCCAUUUUCCAUCUUGAAGGAUCAAGUUUUA